CCAGACUCCUACGGGAGGCAGCAGUGAGGAAUAUUGGUCAAUGGGCUUACGCCUGAACCAGCCAAGUCGCGUGAGGGAUGACGGCCCUAUGGGUUGUAAACCUCUUUUGCCGGGGAGCAAAGUGCCGCACGUGUGCGGUUUGGAGAGUACCCGGAGAAAAAGCAUCGGCUAACUCCGUGCCAGCAGCCGCGGUAAUACGGAGGAUGCGAGCGUUAUCCGGAUUUAUUGGGUUUAAAGGGUGCGUAGGCGGAUUGAUAAGUUAGAGGUGAAAUGUCCGAGCUCAACUCGGGAACUGCCUCUAAUACUGUUGAUCUAGAGAGUAGAUGCGGUAGGCGGAAUGUAUGGUGUAGCGGUGAAAUGCUUAGAGAUCAUACAGAACACCGAUUGCGAAGGCAGCUUACCAAUCUAUAUCUGACGUUGAGGCACGAAAGCGUGGGGAGCAAACAGGAUUAGAUACCCCUGUA
rnacentral:rRNA from 1 species